rnacentral:rRNA from 1 species
UACGUAGGGGGCUAGCGUUGUCCGGAAUCAUUGGGCGUAAAGCGCGCGUAGGCGGCCCGGUAAGUCCGUUGUGAAAGUCAAAGGCUCAACCUUUGAAAGCCGAUGGAUACUGCCGGGCUGGAGUCCGGAAGAGGCGAGUGGAAUUCCUGGUGUAGCGGUGGAAUGCGCAGAUAUCAGGAGGAACACCGGUGGCGAAGGCGGAUCUCUGGGCCGUAACUGACGCUGAGACGCGAAAGCGUGGGGAGCGAACAGG